GCGGGUGCAGCUCAGUGGUAGAGCGCAAGCUUAGCAUGCCUGGGGUCCUGGAUUCAAUGCCCAGAACUCCCA
rnacentral:tRNA from 1 species